rnacentral:rRNA from 1 species
ACUUAAGCAUAUCAAUAAGCGGAGGAAAAGAAACUAACAAGGAUUCCCCUAGUAAUGGCGAAUGAAGAGGGAAAAGCUCAAAUUUAAAAGCUGUUAUCUUUCAGGUAACCGCAUUGUAAUCUAAAGAAGUGUUUUCUGUUUUAGCCUACAUAUAAGUACUCUGGAAUGAGUUGGCAUAGAGGGUGAAACUCCCGUCUUUGAUGUAGAUUACUAAAGCUUUGUGAUACACUUUCUAAGAGUCGAGUUGUUUGGGAAUGCAGCUCAAAAUGGGUGGUAAAUUCCAUCUAAAGCUAAAUAUUGGCCUGAGACCGAUAGCGAACAAGUACCGUGAGGGAAAGAUGAAAAGCACUUUGGAAAGAGAGUCAAAUAGAACGUGAAAUUGCUGAAAGGGAAGCGUUUGAAGUUAGUCUGGUGAUAAUUGUUCAAUUGUUAUUUCGAUUUCAAUGUAUGCAAUUAUUAACCGGUCAACAUCAAUUUUGAUUGAUGGAUAAAGGUAAUGAGAAUGUAGCUAAUUUAGGUUAGUGUUAUAGCUCAUUAUCAUACACAUUGAUUGAGAUUGAGGAUGGCGGUGUACCUAUUUUUAAUAGGCAGAUUUAAGAAUCUAUUACACCAAGGAUGUUGACAAAAUAGCUUUAAGCGACCCGUCUUGAAACACGGACCAAGGAGUCUAACAUAUCUGCGAGUAUUUGAGUGACAAACUCGAAUGCGUAAUGAAAGUGAAUGUAGGUGUGAAGCGUUUAAGCUGCAACAUCGACCGAUCUUGAAUUUUUAUAAUGAUGGAUUUGAGUAAGAGCAUAUAUGUUGGGACCCGAAAGAUGGUGAACUAUGCCUGAAUAGGGUGAAGCCAGAGGAAACUCUGGUGGAGGCUCGUAGCGGUUCUGACGUGCAAAUCGAUCGUCAAAUUUGGGUAUAGGGGCGAAAGACUAAUCGAACCAUCUAGUAGCUGGUUCCUGCCGAAGUUUCCCUCAGGAUAGCAGACACUUGUAUCAGUUUUAUGUGGUAAAGCGAAUGAUUAGAGGCCUAGGGGAUGAAACAUCCUUUACCUAUUCUCAAACUUUAAAUAUGUAAGAGGCUCUUGUUACUUUAAUGAACUUGAGCAACGAAUGAAAGUGUCUAGUGGGCCAUUUUUGGUAAGCAGAACUGGCGAUGCGGGAUGAACCGAUCGUGAGGUUAAGGUGCCGGAAUAUACGCUCAUCAGACACCACAAAAGGUGUUAGUUCAUCUAGACAGCAGGACGGUGGCCAUGGAAGUCGGAAUCCGCUAAGGAGUGUGUAACAACUCACCUGCCGAAUGAACUAGCCCUGAAAAUGGAUGGCGCUUAAGCGUAUUACCCAUACCUCACCGUUUUUGUUUUUUUAAUUGUGAUGCAAAAACGAGUAGGCAGGCGUGAAGAUUGUAUAGAAGCUUAGAUAGUGAUAUUGAGUGGAACAAUCUUUA